UAUAUUUGCUUUGAAGAGCUAUUUUCUGUGGACAGAAUAUAUUUCAACUUCUGAGUAUAGAGAAGAUGGCAGUUGGCAUGUGUCCUUCACUUUGACAACUCUACUUCAGCUUUAUGCAGCUCAGUACAUCUUUACUACCACAGCAAGUGCUCUUACUGCUCUGCACACAUGGAGCUGUACCCAGGAAGAGUGAUGGCAUGCAAAGCUACUCACAAUCUAAUCCUCUAUAGCUCUUACCAUGCCAAAAUCAAGAACAAAGAAAAGACUGAUUACAGAGAUUAAGUUAGAACUACCUGGACUGCCUCUCUAUUUCCCUCCUAAGGACACCAUGAUGAACUAUCAAGUGUCAUAGGUCUGGCACAAACCAGACCGUACUCCUCAGCGCUUUGACUUUCCGGUUCAUUAUGAUAACUGCAGCUCACUUGUCCAUUAUAAACUGACAUUUGAGUGCAGUUAGAAGUCUAAUGCCACAGAAAGAUACCAAGUGCAGAUCCUGACAGAAGCAUUGUCUUACAGUAAAGUACAUGACCCUUAUCCGAAGGUGCUAUCUUCUCAGAUGAGGACUCAGGAGAACUG